GAGUUUGAUCAUGGCUCAGAUUGAACGCUGGCGGCAUGCCUUACACAUGCAAGUCGGACGGUAACGCGGGGCAACCUGGCGACGAGUGGCGAACGGGUGAGUAAUAUAUCGGAACGUGCCCAGUUGUGGGGGAUAACUACUCGAAAGAGUGGCUAAUACCGCAUGAGACCUGAGGGUGAAAGCGGGGGACUCGCAAGAGCCUCGCGCAGUUGGAGCGGCCGAUAUCAGAUUAGCUAGUUGGCGGGGUAAAAGCCCACCAAGGCAACGAUCUGUAGCUGGUCUGAGAGGACGACCAGCCACACUGGGACUGAGACACGGCCCAGACUCCUACGGGAGGCAGCAGUGGGGAAUUUUGGACAAUGGACGCAAGUCUGAUCCAGCCAUGCCGCGUGCGGGAAGAAGGCCUUCGGGUUGUAAACCGCUUUUGUCAGGGAAGAAACGGCUCGGGUUAAUACCUUGGGCUAAUGACGGUACCUGAAGAAUAAGCACCGGCUAACUACGUGCCAGCAGCCGCGGUAAUACGUAGGGUGCAAGCGUUAAUCGGAAUUACUGGGCGUAAAGCGUGCGCAGGCGGUUAUGCAAGACAGAUGUGAAAUCCCCGGGCUCAACCUGGGAACUGCAUUUGUGACUGCAUGGCUAGAGUACGGUAGAGGGGGAUGGAAUUCCGCGUGUAGCAGUGAAAUGCGUAGAUAUGCGGAGGACACCGAUGGCGAAGGCAAUCCCCUGGACCUGUACUGACGCUCAUGCACGAAAGCGUGGGGAGCAAACAGGAUUAGAUACCCUGUAGUCCACGCCCUAACGAUGUCA
rnacentral:rRNA from 1 species